GCCUAAAGAUGAGCUCGCGUCUGAUUAGCUAGUUGGUGGGGUAAAAGCUUACCAAGGCGACGAUCAGUAGCUGGUCUGAGAGGAUGAUCAGCCACACUGGGACUGAGACACGGCCCAGACUCCUACGGGAGGCAGCAGUGGGGAAUUUUCCGCAAUGGGCGAAAGCCUGACGGAGCAACGCCGCGUGAGGGAGGAAGGCUUUUGGGUUGUAAACCUCUUUUAUCAAGGAAGAAAAUGACGGUGCUUGAUGAAUAACAAUCGGCUAACUCCGCGCCCCCACCCGCGGUAAUACGGAGGAGGCACGCGUUUUCCGGAAUAAUUGGGCGUAAAGCGUUCGCGGGGGGUUUUGUAAGUCUGCUGUUAAAACGUGUGGCUUAACUACGUAUAGGCGGAGGAAACUACAAAACUUGAGUGCGUGGGGGGGGGAGGGAAUUUCUGGUGUGGCGGGGAAAUGCGUAUAUAUAAGGAAAAACACCGGUGGCGAAGGCGCUCUAUUAUGCCCCAUCUGACACUGUGGGACAAAAG
rnacentral:rRNA from 1 species